GACCUCGUAACUCAGUUGGUAGAGCGUUGGACUAGUAUCCCAAGGUCUCAAAGGUCGCGGGUUCGAUUCCCACCGUGGUCA